GUGGUGUUCCUAAUUUCAACUGCACCGCAUCCCGUCCGAUCUGCGAAGUUAAGCAAGGUAUCGCCUAGUCAGUACUGCGCUGGGGGACCACGCGGGAAUCCUAGGUGCUGCAGUUC